rnacentral:rRNA from 1 species
CCGAUAUAGCGGAACCCGCCGUCCACGUUCUCUUUCUCACAAGUAACGAACCACGCCGCUACUAGUUGCGUGCUUAACGAAUGGGCCGCACAAGCGGUGGAGCAUGGGUUUAAUUCGAAGCAACGCGCAGAACCUUACCAGCCCUUGACAUCCCGAUCGCGGUAACGAGAAUCGUAUCCUUCAGUUCGGCUGGAUCGGAGACAGGUGCUGCAUGGCUGUCGUCAGCUCGUGUCGGAGAUGUUGGGUUAAGUCCCGCAACGAGCGCAACCCUCGCCCUUAGUUGCCAGCAUUCAGUUGGGCACUCUAAGGGGACUGCCGGUGAUAAGCCGAGAGGAAGGUGGGGAUGACGUCAAGUCCUCAUGGCCCUUACGGGCUGGGCUACACACGUGCUACAUGGUGGUGACAGUGGGCAGCGAGACCGCGAGGUCGACGUAAUCUCCAAAAGCCAUCUCAGUUCGGAUUGCACUCUGCAACUCGAGUGCAUGAAGUUGGAAUCGCUAGUAAUCGCAGAUCAGCAUGCUGCGUGAAUACUUCCGGCCUUGUACCCCGCCGUCACACCAUGGAG